GAUGAACGCUGGCGGCGUGCCUAAUACAUGCAAGGCGAGCGAACGGACGAGAAGCUUGCUUCUCUGAUGUUAGCGGCGGACGGGUGAGUAACACGUGGAUAACCUACCUAUAAGACUGGGAUAACUUCGGGAAACCGGAGCUAAUACCGGAUAAUAUUUUGAACCGCAUGGUUCAAAAGUGAAAGACGGUCUUGCUGUCACUUAUAGAUGGAUCCGCGCUGCAUUAGCUAGUUGGUAAGGUAACGGCUUACCAAGGCAACGAUGCAUAGCCGACCUGAGAGGGUGAUCGGCCACACUGGAACUGAGACACGGUCCAGACUCCUACGGGAGGCAGCAGUAGGGAAUCUUCCGCAAUGGGCGAAAGCCUGACGGAGCAACGCCGCGUGAGUGAUGAAGGUCUUCGGAUCGUAAAACUCUGUUAUUAGGGAAGAACAUAUGUGUAAGUAACUGUGCACAUCUUGACGGUACCUAAUCAGAAAGCCACGGCUAACUACGUGCCAGCAGCCGCGGUAAUACGUAGGUGGCAAGCGUUAUCCGGAAUUAUUGGGCGUAAAGCGCGCGUAGGCGGUUUUUUAAGUCUGAUGUGAAAGCCCACGGCUCAACCGUGGAGGGUCAUUGGAAACUGGAAAACUUGAGUGCAGAAGAGGAAAGUGGAAUUCCAUGUGUAGCGGUGAAAUGCGCAGAGAUAUGGAGGAACACCAGUGGCGAAGGCGACUUUCUGGUCUGUAACUGACGCUGAUGUGCGAAAGCGUGGGGAUCAAACAGGAUUAGAUACCCUGGUAGUCCACGCCGUAAACGAUGAGUGCUAAGUGUUAGGGGGUUUCCGCCCCUUAGUGCUGCAGCUAACGCAUUAAGCACUCCGCCUGGGGAGUACGACCGCAAGGUUGAAACUCAAAGGAAUUGACGGGGACCCGCACAAGCGGUGGAGCAUGUGGUUUAAUUCGAAGCAACGCGAAGAACCUUACCAAAUCUUGACAUCCUUUGACAACUCUAGAGAUAGAGCUUUCCCCUUCGGGGGACAAAGUGACAGGUGGUGCAUGGUUGUCGUCAGCUCGUGUCGUGAGAUGUUGGGUUAAGUCCCGCAACGAGCGCAACCCUUAAGCUUAGUUGCCAUCAUUAAGUUGGGCACUCUAAGUUGACUGCCGGUGACAAACCGGAGGAAGGUGGGGAUGACGUCAAAUCAUCAUGCCCCUUAUGAUUUGGGCUACACACGUGCUACAAUGGACAAUACAAAGGGCAGCGAAACCGCGAGGUCAAGCAAAUCCCAUAAAGUUGUUCUCAGUUCGGAUUGUAGUCUGCAACUCGACUACAUGAAGCUGGAAUCGCUAGUAAUCGUAGAUCAGCAUGCUACGGUGAAUACGUUCCCGGGUCU
rnacentral:rRNA from 1 species